rnacentral:rRNA from 1 species
UCCUACGGGAGGCAGCAGUGAGGAAUAUUGGUCAAUGGGCGGAAGCCUGAACCAGCCAAGUAGCGUGAAGGAUGACUGCCCUAUGGGUUGUAAACUUCUUUUGUUCGGGAAUAAAGUGCAGUACGCGUACUGUUUUGUAUGUACCGUUCGAAUAAGCAUCGGCUAAUUCCGUGCCAGCAGCCGCGGUAAU